AGGGAAUGUAAAGCAGCGUUUCUUUUUAACACUUAAAGCUGGCCAUACAGUUCCCAUUACCGCUACGGAACUGUCAUAAGGGGGUUUUGUUGCGACCGACGUGAUUUUAGUGCUGCACCAUGCGGGGGUAGGAAGGUGUUUGCAGUGGUGCUUCCGCUUCUCUGGCAGGUCACAGGCUAAAACAAGAAGGAUGGUGCUGUUCAGGGCGCUACACAGUGUGGGCAGUAGGCAUGUAACCCCGGACGGUCGUAGCUUAUGGGGAGCUUUGGCAGUAUUACGGCAAGGAAAUCAUACAUUGCAACAAGUUCACAACGAUAUGCCCCAGCUGAUGGAGAAUCCUUAUAAAGAACCACCAAAAAAGUGCAUCUUAUGUGGAGUUACAGUGGACUACAAAAAUACACAGCUGUUGUCUCAGUUUAUUUCACCUCACACCGGUCGCAUCUAUGGCAGAAACAUAACAGGGUUGUGUGGAAGGAAACAAAGAGCCAUUUCAAAAGCCAUUAAAAGAGCACAUAUUAUGGUGGCGUAACAAGAGGGCACCGCCCCACCGGCAAAAAUCUUCAUAAGUGCCUGGUGCACAUCAGCUCGCCUCCUCCACCUGCUCAUGAUUUAUGCCUGUCACAUACAAGGACCCCACAUUCCUUCAGGACCCCAAAAUCUGUGAACCUUAAACUCUGAAUGAUGUUAUGAACUUUAAUUAUAAUUUGUUUUGUUAAUAAAUAUUCUUUUGUUAUAAGCAA